UUAAGUUAUUAAGGGCGCACGGUGGAUGCCUUGGCACUAGAAGCCGAUGAAGGACGUUACUAACGACGAUAUGCUUUGGGGAGCUGUAAGUAAGCUUUGAUCCAGAGAUUUCCGAAUGGGGAAACCCAGCAUGAGUUAUGUCAUGUUAUCGAUAUGUGAAUACAUAGCAUAUCAGAAGGCACACCCGGAGAACUGAAACAUCUUAGUACCCGGAGGAAGAGAAAGAAAAUUCGAUUCCCUUAGUAGCGGCGAGCGAAACGGGAAGAGCCCAAACCAAAAAGCUUGCUUGUUGGGGUUGUAGGACACUCUAUACGGAGUUACAAAGGACGACAUUAGACGAAUCAUCUGGAAAGAUGAAUCAAAGAAGGUAAUAAUCCUGUAGUCGAAAAUGUUGUCUCUCUUGAGUGGAUCCUGAGUACGACGGAGCACGUGAAAUUCCGUCGGAAUCUGGGAGGACCAUCUCCUAAGGCUAAAUACUCUCUAGUGACCGAUAGUGAACCAGUACCGUGAGGGAAAGGUGAAAAGCACCCCGGAAGGAGAGUGAAAUAGAACCUGAAACCGUGUGCUUACAAGUAGUCAGAGCCCGUUAAUGGGUGAUGGCGUGCCUUUUGUAGAAUGAACCGGCGAGUUACGAUUUGAUGCAAGGUUAAGCAGUAAAUGUGGAGCCGUAGCGAAAGCGAGUCUGAAUAGGGCGUUUAGUAUUUGGUCGUAGACCCGAAACCAGGUGAUCUACCCUUGGUCAGGUUGAAGUUCAGGUAACACUGAAUGGAGGACCGAACCGACUUACGUUGAAAAGUGAGCGGAUGAACUGAGGGUAGCGGAGAAAUUCCAAUCGAACCUGGAGAUAGCUGGUUCUCUCCGAAAUAGCUUUAGGGCUAGCCUCAAGUGAUGAUUAUUGGAGGUAGAGCACUGUUUGGACGAGGGGCCCCUCUCGGGUUACCGAAUUCAGACAAACUCCGAAUGCCAAUUAAUUUAACUUGGGAGUCAGAACAUGGGUGAUAAGGUCCGUGUUCGAAAGGGAAACAGCCCAGACCACCAGCUAAGGUCCCAAAAUAUAUGUUAAGUGGAAAAGGAUGUGGCGUUGCCCAGACAACUAGGAUGUUGGCUUAGAAGCAGCCAUCAUUUAAAGAGUGCGUAAUAGCUCACUAGUCGAGUGACACUGCGCCGAAAAUGUACCGGGGCUAAACAUAUUACCGAAGCUGUGGAUUGUCCUUUGGACAAUGGUAGGAGAGCGUUCUAAGGGCGUUGAAGCAUGAUCGUAAGGACAUGUGGAGCGCUUAGAAGUGAGAAUGCCGGUGUGAGUAGCGAAAGACGGGUGAGAAUCCCGUCCACCGAUUGACUAAGGUUUCCAGAGGAAGGCUCGUCCGCUCUGGGYUAGUCGGGUCCUAAGCUGAGGCCGACAGGCGUAGGCGAUGGAUAACAGGUUGAUAUUCCUGUACCACCUAUAAUCGUUUUAAUCGAUGGGGGGACGCAGUAGGAUAGGCGAAGCGUGCGAUUGGAUUGCACGUCUAAGCAAUAAGGCUGAGUAUUAGGCAAAUCCGGUACUCGUUAAGGCUGAGCUGUGAUGGGGAGAAGACAUUGUGUCUUCGAGUCGUUGAUUUCACACUGCCGAGAAAAGCCUCUAGAUAGAAAAUAGGUGCCCGUACCGCAAACCGACACAGGUAGUCAAGAUGAGAAUUCUAAGGUGAGCGAGCGAACUCUCGUUAAGGAACUCGGCAAAAUGACCCCGUAACUUCGGGAGAAGGGGUGCUCUUUAGGGUUAACGCCCAGAAGAGCCGCAGUGAAUAGGCCCAAGCGACUGUUUAUCAAAAACACAGGUCUCUGCUAAACCGUAAGGUGAUGUAUAGGGGCUGACGCCUGCCCGGUGCUGGAAGGUUAAGAGGAGUGGUUAGCUUCUGCGAAGCUACGAAUCGAAGCCCCAGUAAACGGCGGCCGUAACUAUAACGGUCCUAAGGUAGCGAAAUUCCUUGUCGGGUAAGUUCCGACCCGCACGAAAGGCGUAACGAUUUGGGCACUGUCUCCCACCACGAUAAGUGGUGCGGGUUAGAAAGCCAACACAGCUAG
rnacentral:rRNA from 1 species